rnacentral:rRNA from 1 species
ACUCAAAGGAAUUGACGGGGGCCCGCACAAGCGGAGGAACAUGUGGUUUAAUUCGAUGAUACGCGAGGAACCUUACCCGGGCUUGAAAUGGAGAGGAAUGUGGUUGAAAGGUCACAGUCUUUACAGACCUCUUUGUAGGUGCUGCAUGGUUGUCGUCAGCUCGUGCCGUGAGGUGUCGGCUUAAGUGCCAUAACGAGCGCAACCCUUAUUUUCAGUUACCAUCAGUUUAAGCUGGGGACUCUGGAGAGACUGCCGCCGUAAGGUGCGAGGAAGGUGGGGAUGACGUCAAAUCAGCACGGCCCUUACGUCCGGGGCGACACACGUGUUACAAUGGGAGAUACAGAGGGUUGCUACCUGGAGACGGGAUGCUAAUCUCUUAAAUUCUUUCUCAGUUCGGAUCGGAGUCUGCAACUCGACUUCGUGAAGUUGGAUUCGCUAGUAAUCGCGCAUCAGCCAUGGCGCGGUGAAUACGUUCCCGGGCCUUGCACACACCGCCCGU